rnacentral:rRNA from 1 species
UACGGAGGGUGCAAGCGUUAUCCGGAUUUAUUGGGUUUAAAGGGUCCGUAGGCGGACUAUUAAGUCAGCGGUGAAAGCCCUCUGCUCAACAGAGGAACUGCCGUUGAUACUGAUAGUCUUGAGUACAAGUGAGGUUGGCGGAAUGUGUGGUGUAGCGGUGAAAUGCUUAGAUAUCACACAGAACACCGAUUGCGAAGGCGGUUCUCUGGGCCUUACCUGACGCUGAGGAGCGAAAGCAUGGGGAGCAAACAGG